UAGUAGUUAGUUUAACUAAAACAACUGGUUUCGACCCAUUAAAUUACGAUGUAUCGUAACUACUAG